rnacentral:misc_RNA from 1 species
GGAAGUAAAAGUCGUAGCAAGGUUUCCGUAGGUGAACCUGCGGGAGGAUCAUUCAUAAUAAAGUGUUUUGUGGCACUUUUUAAAAAUCCAUAUCCACCUUGUGUGCAAUGUUAGAUCUCGUCAAUCUUGGCGAGAUUUUUAUACAUCAACUCAUUCUUUAACUAAUUUGUCUGAAAAAUAUUAUGAAUACUUAAUUCGAAAUACAACUUUCAACAACGGAUCUCUUGGCUCUC